rnacentral:lncRNA from 1 species
GGCUUUUCUUGAAAGUUUUGAGCAGCAAUAUGGAAACAACCAUCCUUUCUUUUAUGCGUGCCGAUUCAGGAAAGCUGUGAAGUUGGCUGAGCAGGAUCAUAGGUUUAUGUUUAUGUACCUUCACUCACCGGACCACAAUUUUGCAAACGUGUUCUGCAAGGGAACACUCUGUUCUGAGCUUGUGAUGCAGUUCCUUGAUAUGAAUUUUGUUUGUUGGGGAGCACUUGCUGAUAGAGGAGAGGGUAUGCAAAUGGUUUCCAUGCUGCGCCCUUCUACGUUUCCAUGUUGUGCUGUCAUCGCUCCAGCUCCCGGUGAUAGCAUGACAGUGCUGCAGCAGGUUGAGCACACAUUCUAGCAUUUAUACCUUUUUGUUUCAUUUUGUUUUUGUUUAUGGAUGAUGCUUAAUGCCACAAAUGUGCUUGGUGUUUUCUCAGGAAUUAGCUGAAUUAGCUACUUUCAUGUAUAUAGUUUAGGUUGAUUUGUAAUCUAAAGCAAUGCAUAAUUAGUUCAAACGAUUCACACUUAUUUCACUUAAGUAAGAUCCUAAAUUUAGUACUCAAAUUUUCUCCCCUAUUGUAACUCGACCUGGCUAAAAUCGAAUUAGUUGAAUUUAAUAAACUCUAUAAACACUACUGGUCUAGACCAAAAACAUGUUAAUAAUUAAUUUAGGAUGCCAUGACCAAGUUUUUUGCUAGGUAAAGAAAUAGUAUCCUGAAAUUUGAAAGCAUUAUUAGAACUAUUAGUAUCUCAUACCAAUUUUUUUUCUUUAUCUUUUGCCACUGAACUAUGCAUUUUACAUGCCCUUUUUGGCCAGCUUGAGGGGCCUCUUUCAGCAGCUGAGCUAGUGGAGAUUCUACAAAGGACAAUGGAGGAACAAGGGCUGGCUUUCGGAAGCGGAAAGGCUAAGCACGAAUCAAAGAUCCUAGCUGACCGCAGGCUUCGAGAAGAGCAAGACGCCGCAUAUUUUGCAGCUUUGCAUAUAGACAAGGUUCAUAACUCAUUUCAACUUUUCAAUUUGAUAAAUAUUGUGUACUCAUUCUGCAUUGUACACCAAGUCACCCUUGAAUGCAAAUAGUUUUAUUUAUUUUUCCAAAGAAUGCUUAGUUAACAAAGAUUUUUUUCCUGUAUAGGAAAAAGAGAAGCAGCACAAGAAUUCUCCUUUAAGAGGGGGAAUUCAGAAGCCAGUGGAGGCUCAGAAUGGCAGAAAUUUUAGGAAGUUGAGUAACAAUUCUGUGAAUGUUAGAAAACAGGAUAGUAAGAAUGAAGUUUACGAGUCUAAUGGUCAAAAACAAGCCAAAGGAAUUGCAAGCAGGGUAAAUGGCUAUGGCUCUGAGGCUACACAGGUAAAUAAAUAUAUCAUUCCAACACAAUAUAAAGAAUCAUAGAGUUUAUAGUAAAUAUUGAAAUUAAUAAUACAACAACAAAGUCUGGUUCCACUAGGUGAAGUCGACCCCAUAAAUCAAACAAUGUCAUAAUGCUUUCACAUAAAUCAUAAAUGUCUUUUAAACAUUUUGGUAUUCAGAUAUCUUUUAAUAAUUUCUUCUAUAAUUUUCUUAUGUCCCAUAAUGUUUGUCAAAUUUUGUGCAACAGAUACUGAUAAGGUUUCCGAAUGGAGAAAGAAGAGAACACAGUUUUUUGUCUACUGACAAAAUCCAAUCCAUCUUCACGUGCAUUAAUUCAUUAGGAAUUCCAGGGAUUGAGAAUUAUAGAUUAAUUUCAAAUUUUCCAAGGAAAGCUUAUGGUGUGGACCAAAUGAGAAUGACUCUCAAAGAAGCUGGCUUGUUUCCUAAAGCUAGCCUGUUCUUGGAGCCUAUGUGAAUCAUUGUUGAUUGUCCACAGUCAUAUGAAGUUGUGAACAUACAGGUGUGAAUUUUGAAUUGGCAUUGGUAUACAUAUACAUUUAGAUUUCAAUGAAAUGAGAGGAGAGGAAAAGAAGUAUGUUUGAAUAAGUGACUUCACCUUAGCUCAAUAUUUCAUGGAUGAUCCAAUAGAUAAAAUUACGAUGUUAGUAGAGAAAUUCAUGGUUAUAUGCGAAUUAUAGAAAAGAAAAGGUAAUACAAUGCCACCUUAAGUUGUUGGAUCAUAACUAUUCAUAAGGAGAGAAUAAGAGGAAGAAAGACAACCAAAUUAUUAGAAUAUCAACCAAGCUAAUUUGUUACUUUUAAAUUUUAAGGUACACCUUUGUUUUUUAUGUUUUUGUUUAGGCACUUUUAAUUUAUUCAUUUUCCUUUCUCUUCCACCCCUUAUAUUUUAUCUUUAAGUUUGAUGGUUAUCAGUGGCUAAGAGAAGGGGGGUUGAAUCUUAGCCUCCUUUUCGCUUGAUAAGACUUGCUGACCUUUGAAACCAAUUUUGGAAAUUUCUUGUCUUUUUAUCUCGUCACUAGCCACGAGACUUUUUCUUUUGUCUCAUCCCUAGCCACGAGACUUUAAGAAUAAUUAAUUUAAAUAAUCUCUUAUUAUUUGUCUGAAAGACAAAGUCUCUUUCACAAUUUAAAAUUUCAUAUUAAUUUUUAACUAUCCAUGUAAUUGGUCUAUGUGACUCCCUUAAUAGACUAUGUGGUCUCUAUUACUCGAUUGAGGGGCCCCUCACACAUCAGUAAUUCAUCAUUUACGGAAUUGCUUAGGCCAAUUAUUUGGAUUGUUUGAGAACGAUAAAAUUUUAAAUUGUAGAAGAGUAUUUUGUCUUUAGAGCAAAUGGUCAAGAAUAGAAAAUAAUCCAAGAAAACAAUUGAUCUUUUGACAAUGUGGGAAUCACCUUUUUACAUUGGAAUAAAUUUGAUGCUAUAUUCAAUAUUCACGAACCAUAUUCUCCAUCUGCAUGAGUACACACAUUAACGGUUUCACAGACAAAUGGCACUUAUUUUGAAUGUAAGUACUUCGAAAAUGAACUGCAGCUUUGGCCUUAAGCAAAGAAUCUUCUUUGCGCACUAAGCUUCCUCAACAGUGUUUUAAGAAAGUAAAUAAAGAAAACGGCAUCUAAAACAGUCUUCGUCAAUCUUCUAGUGUCUCUUCUAUUAGAACAAAACAAGGAAUGUCUUCACAAAUUCACAUGAAAUUGAAUAGUUGAUACAAGAUUAGGUUUCCAGGACUAAUUUUAAAUAACAAAACAACAAAAUGUCAUCGCCGGCGACAAGGGAUCACAGGAUCGUUCGACGCGUGGCGAGCCUCCCUAGAAGCAUAAUGGGGGAAAUCUCAAGGGCAUUGGGGGAUGGCAUGGGACUUGUAGGAAUAGGAAGAAGAAGAAACCAUAAUCAUAAUCAUAAUCAUGAGGCAAAUGUUGGGCAAGGGCAAGUGCAGCCUCAUGGCCCUCCAUUGUUGCCACAAGAACACAUAGCAGUUCCAGAAGAGUGGGCUUUUCUUGAAAGUUUUGAGCAGCAAUAUGGAAACAACCAUCCUUUCUUUUAUGCGUGCCGAUUCAGGAAAGCUGUGAAGUUGGCUGAGCAGGAUCAUAGGUUUAUGUUUAUGUACCUUCACUCACCGGACCACAAUUUUGCAAACGUGUUCUGCAAGGGAACACUCUGUUCUGAGCUUGUGAUGCAGUUCCUUGAUAUGAAUUUUGUUUGUUGGGGAGCACUUGCUGAUAGAG